GCCGCCCGCGACACUGCGAGAAGUCCAUUGAACCUUAUCAUUUAGAGGAAGGAGAAGUCGUAACAAGGUUUCCGUAGGUGAACCUGCGGAAGGAUCAUUGUCGAGACCAAAAUAUAUCGAGCGAUUCGGAGAACCCGUGAAAUAAGCGGCGGCGGCCGUCGGCCGUCGCCGCGGAGCAUCCAUCCCGGCCGUCGCCCCGCCUCCUUCGGAGGGGGGGGGCGCGACGAGGGACGGGUGAAACCCCAAACCGGCGCAAUCCCGCGCCAAGGGAACUGUUGAAAAACACGGGCCCCGCAUCGGGGCUCUGUGGAGCGGUGUUGAGGCACCGCGCGUACUGACACGACUCUCGGCAAUGGAUAUCUCGGCUCUCGCAUCGAUGAAGAGCGCAGCGAAAUGCGAUACGUGGUGCGAAUUGCAGAAUCCCGCGAACCAUCGAGUCUUUGAACGCAAGUUGCGCCCGAGGCCAACCGGCCGAGGGCACGUCCGCCUGGGCGUCAAGCGUUGCGUCGCUCCGUGCCGAGAAGGCCCGGACGUGCAGAGUGGCCCGUCGUGCCCACCGGCGCGGCGGGCUGAAGAGCGGGCGAUCGUCUCGAUGGCCGCGAACAACGAGGGGUGGAUGAAAGCUACGUACGUCGUUGUCUCGUGCCGGCCCGAGAGAGGAUCGUGCCCCCCACGUGAUCCCAUCCAUGCGCCGAUCCACACGCGGCGGCUUGGAAUGCGACCCCAGGAUGGGCGAGACCACCCGCCGAGUUUAAGCAUAUCAAUAAGCGGAGGA
rnacentral:rRNA from 1 species